CUCCCCAAACAAGCCCAGAAUGACUCACUCAACAAAUAUUUGCACACCUUUAUUUCCAGCCCUCCGCAGGUUUCUGGGAAUCUAAGACAUCUGUCCUGGUUGCCAGUAGGGGAAACAAGUGCUGACCAAGCAAGGAUGAGGGUGAUUCAUUCUACCUCGCACCACAGCAGAAAGCAGGGCUGAGAUUCUGACCUCAAAACCCAGGCUCUGGACCCCAGCUGCCGCGGCUGACCCAGUUCUCCCACAUCUGCGUCGUGUCUUCCCACCACUCCCGCAUUCCUUUCAGGUCAGCAGUUGUGGCUUGGCUUCCACAGUGGGAGCUAAAGAAGGAGCUCACAUGUGGGGGUUCACGUGUCCCCCCCCCCUUCCUUUAAUUGCAGUGAGGAAGCUGCCAAGGCUCCACUGGGGUGGUACGUUAUGCGCGCACCAUUAUCUACAUUUGUGGUUGUGCGGAAAUUACACUCCCUGCAGCGGGGCAGGUUCAGGCCCGACACCAUGGCAGACGUGGCCUCCCCUUGCCAGGAAAAAGCGGCCUGCCCCUUGCAGCAGCCCUCUCCUCCUUCCCGGCACCUGGGAUGGCUGGGCCUUUACAUCUGCCUAGAAGAUUCCUUUGCUUUAUGUCUGUCUCCCACACACAGCACAGGUUCCAAGAGUGAUGGGGCAGCAUCCAGCUUGCCUUAUGCAACAAGCGCUCCACAGUUCAGCCACAACAUCAAGCAGACCACAGCCUCCCUGAGCCUCAAUUUCCUCCUGCGGAUGAACGGAGCUGACGUAUGCAGAGGACUUGCCCCAGUGCCCGCACGCAGGAACACCGAAUAAACACAAGUCACUGACAGGUGUAGCAGAUGACCCUUCUGAUCUGAUAGGCAAAUGCUCAAAGCUGGCUCCAAGGCAGGCCUGGCCUGACGCCUGGGGACAGGGAGGGGCGGGAGGUGUGAUGGUUAGCCACACGGCAGGACAGAGCUGAAGUGCCUGGGUGUGAAUCCUGGCUGUGUCCUCUGCCAGUCACACGACAGGGCUUGAGAGAUGGACCAGGCUCCCCAAACCCACGUCCCUGUGCAGGGAAGCGCAGCUGCGUCUCAGGCUUCGGGGAGGCAAGUGAAGCCCCUGCUACCAACACCCAGGAGGAGCUUUCUCCAGCCACCAGCAGGCAGAGCCGCUGCAAACUGUCCUGGAGAACGGGAGCUAAGUGAGGCUGCUGGACAGGCAGGAGAGAGACAAAGGCAAGGGGCUGGAGCACGUGGGUUCUGGGGAACCAGGGCUCACAGCCUGGCACUCCGGGACACUGGGCACCAGGACACCAGAGUAGGUUCAUAAUGGGGCCCAACGCACUUCACUCAUCUCUGCCCAUACCACCCCAGGUGAGGCACUUUGAUCAACAAAGGUGUAUCGCAGGCUCAGAGAAAUCACAAGUGAUGUCACCACCCGAAAGCAGGCAGCCUGACCACAACUGCCCCAGGAGGCUGGAAAAAAGUGAGGUCCACAGAAGAGGUGGCUUUAUGCAUGGGCCAGAUACAUAACUCCAAGGCCUCUCUAUUGAGGACAGCUAAGGAUACUCAACCCGGCUCUGUCUCUGCUCUAGGACAGCAAAGAGCUGGGCCUCGCCCUGGGCCUCAGGGACCCAGGAGCUUUAGCAGCAGUCCCCAAGGAACCACAGGUAUAAGCCCUGAUGGAGGUACUUUACUCUUUCUCUCAUUCAGUCAAGACCAAAGCGCUGGGCGCAGGAGCACACGCCGGGCUGAGAAUAUACGCUAAGUGCCCCACAAGAACUACUUUCUUUAAACUUCAUUAAUGCUCUCUAACAGAGAUAAUACCUUUUUUU